CCAAAUUCCCAAUUUGGUUUAGGGUUUAGUGCUCUCUCUCUAUCUCUUUCUCUCUCAAUUUGAGCGUACACACUCUGUCUCAUUCGAUCUCUUGCUCGUUCUCUCUUCGUCCUCAUCAUUACCAAUUGAAACCCCAUUGCUAUCGACGACGAGCUCUCCCUCUCCCUCUUUGUAUUUUUGAACCCAUUGCGUCUCCUCCAUCUCACCCGCGUCUGUCGGAAACAAGAACCCUAGCGGUGUGAGAGAUCGAUCGGUCGCUCUCUUACCCUCUCCGUCCUCACCAUCACCCACUGAAACCCCAUUACUGGUGGGUCUCUCUCUCUCUCUCUGUAUUUUUGAACCCAUCGUGUCUCUUGUAGGUCACAUGCCUCUGUUGGAAAGAAACCCUAGCGAUGUGAGUGAGACAUUGGGCACCCCCACCCCACUGGCUUCAUCUCCCCCUGUCGCCGGCGAAGAGCUCUUAUUUCUGAGAGACCUCGGAAUCGUUGGAUUUCCAGACCUCUUGUAUAUUUUUGUUCGAGAGGCUUGAACUCGUUGGAUUUCCAGACCUCGGAAUCGUCGAACUUGAACUGGGUGUCGGAGGUGAUUGGGGAUAGGUUGUUGGCGAAGAAGUAGCUUCUGGUAACCAUUAUUAAUGGAGGAGUGGUAGUUUCUCGAGUGGAGCCGAGUUCAACAACCAUUUGGGGGAUCGCUCAUUGUCGAUUGCUAGGAUUUAUAUAAUAAUGGUAAUGGAAGGCAUUUGGAUAAGCCUAUGCUUGUUGUGUAACUAUCUGGUAGGUUUUGUUUAGAUUUAUAUGUUGCUAGUUUCACAUUGUAAUCAACUCAACCUGAGGAGUCCUUAUCCCAGCUACUGAAAAGAUAUGAGGAGGCAAAGUUGGAAGUUCUGUUUUGAGCUCAAGUGAUGAGGAAGAUUUAGAGGCAAGCAUGGUUGUUCUCGGCGAGAACCCAUCCAAAAGAUCUAGCACCUAUGACGUGAAGACGGUGGACAAAUUGGUGGAUCCUGCUUUUCCAGCGCCAUUGCCUGUUGUUAUUUUGAGCUCAAGCGAUCAGGAAAAUAGCCAAGCAAGUGUAAUUGUUCUUGGAGAGGAUGACUUGCAGAACCCAUAAAAAAUGAUGACUUGGAGAACCUAUCAAAAAGAUCCAGCACCAAUGAUGUGGAGAUGGUGGACAAAGCGGUGGAUCCACAUGCUUUUCCUGUUCCUUUGCUCGGUUUUAGGAGAAUUGUAAUAGUAAACUAUCAUUUAAACUCUUUUGUGUAGGCACAUCGUUUGAUGAUUCUAGGUUUAUCUCCAUAGCCAUCCAUUUGUUUUUCAAUUGCUUCCAUUUGUUUUUCUUUUGAGUUUCUGUUUCUUUUAAUUCUCAAUCAAAAUUGAGUUUUUAUUUGUA